CUACGUGCCAGCAGCCGCGGUAAUACGUAGGUGGCAAGCGUUGUCCGGAAUUAUUGGGCGUAAAGCGCGCGCAGGCGGAUCAGUUAGUCUGUCUUAAAAGUUCGGGGCUUAACCCCGUGAUGGGAUGGAAACUGCUGAUCUAGAGUAUCGGAGAGGAAAGUGGAAUUCCUAGUGUAGCGGUGAAAUGCGUAGAUAUUAGGGAGAACACCAGUGGCGAAGGCGACUUUCUGGACGAAAACUGACGCUGAGGCGCGAAAGCCAGGGGAGCGAACGGGAUUAGAUACCCCGGUAGUCCUGGCCGUAAACGAUGGGUACUAGGUGUAGGAGGUAUCGACCCCUUCUGUGCCGGAGUUAACGCAAUAAGUACCCCGCCUGGGGAGUACGACCGCAAGGUUGAAACUCAAAGGAAUUGACGGGGGCCCGCACAAGCGGUGGAGUAUGUGGUUUAAUUCGACGCAACGCGAAGAACCUUACCAGGUCUUGACAU
rnacentral:rRNA from 1 species